GAAAAAUCAUUUAUUUUUAGAAUAGCCACCAACCAUACAGUUUAUUAUAUGGUUCUGUUUAUUAUGGUUAGUGGUAUAGCCCAGUACCACUAACCAAAUAGUAUAGUCGACUCUUAACUUCCUACAAGCGAAACGCCAGGCCUCUGCCAAAGUCCCAGCUACACGUAUUAGUGCGCGUAGAACACGCAGGUAGAAGCCCUAGCUACAUGUGUAUUAGUGCGUGUAGAGCACGCAGCUAGAAGCCCCAGCUGCAUUUGCAUAAGUGCGUGUAGCCAAUUAUUUUUUUAGUGCUCCAAACCGUUUUUUUCUUGAUCCACACGGACACUGCAAGUAAUGUAUGUGUUGGUGCGCUGACUUUCUGAACUGCGAUGGAACGAACAUUCGUUUUGAUGUUUUGAUUUUGAUAAUUUUUUGUUAUAUAUUAUAUGAAUGCAAAUGCAAUAUUUGUUAAUUUAAUUAUUUUAUUAUAUAAAUAUAUACAUAUUUUUGAUCUAUUACUAUUACUAAAUGUAAAUAUGUACAUACAUAUAUAUAUAUAGAUAUAUAUCUAUAUGCAUGUAUAUGAUAAAUAAUUGCAUGUGCAUUCAUUUAAUAUAUUACAAAAAUUAUAUACAUAUUACACAAAAAAAUAAAUACGCGGUGGGUCCAUGCAGGUUUUAGUGGCAUGCUUGGGCAACAAAUUUGAAGUCAGUUGUCCAAAUCUCGAUUUGCCGAUGGGAGUCGGAGGAAAAUGUGCAAGUGUUAAUGUGUGUGUACAUGUGCAAGGCAGCCGCCUUGUCAGCAAACAUGUCUCCAUGUCCCCUUCCGUCAAAACUCCAUGCUUGUUCACACCGUGACUCUGAAUACUCUCAUGGAAAAUAUUUGCAACGCAAAGUCAAAACCCGUAAUUCAUUAUUUGUAUACAUAUUCAGAUGUUUAUAUCCGUUACCCCUUUCAUCCUAAAUUAUAUAAUACUAUUUGGUUGGUGGCAGAGGCCUGGGACUCCGAGACGCCCAUUGAGCGGUGACGUUUCGUUUGUAGGAAGUUGAGAGUCUACUAUACUAUUUGGUUAGUGUUUGUACGCACAAAAUAUUCUUAUCGGUUCCAUACGAAUAUCAUCCCUGAUUUUUUUUGCGACCCCUUUCUUUCGAUCUGAGUGCUAGGCUUCAGGAAGGAAAUGUGUUGCUGCAUAUAAACUUGAUAUACAUCAAGCCAUUAAACAUAUCAGAUCCGUUUUUUUCAUUUCAAACUCACAACACACCUAAAUUCCUGUCUGAAUCAAGAACAUUGUAAAAAAAAUGCAUUAAAGUUGAUCAAUUUUCCACUUUUUUUCAAUUUUAACUUGAUGAAAAAAUUCGAAAUUUAAAAUCUUCUUUAAAGUCUUAAUUUAACAAGUUUUUGCUUGUUUCCUUUCUUGUUUCUUCUUUCUGCAGACAGAAGAUUUCAUUUGCUAUUCUUUAUUUCAGCCUAGUACUCAGAUCGAAAAAAAAGUUCUCAAGCUCGUUCGCCCCCGACACUUCGGUUCAGCUCCAUACCUAAAUCGUUGACACGAUAAAAGCAGCUGGAUCGAGAGUGAGAAGGGCUUGGAGAAAAAGUUGAGCGACUUAAGUGUCGAUCAACUGUACACAUAUGUAUGUAUAAUACCUAAUAUGAUGUACAUUUAUAUUUAAAUAAACUAUUGUUCACAGGAGACGAACAAGAAUAAUAAAGAGAACAGCGUCUUUGCCACUGAGCAUGUCGUGGAAAAGCUACUGGAAAAGCUCGCCCAUAAAUUGGAGCCUGCACGAAUAAGGCCCGCCUUUUAGUACUGGAAAAUUACUUGGUGAAACUGACAGAGAAGGAAGCUACCGAAGUGGAAAAAAAUGACCACCGUACUUUUUAAAGAGAUCGAGGCCAUACAAAUGGAGAAAUAUAGAGAGGAGAAUAAAU
rnacentral:lncRNA from 1 species